AUUGAACGCUGGCGGCAGGCUUAACACAUGUAAGUCGAGCGGAUGAAGGUAGCUUGCUACCUGAUUCAGCGGCGGACGGGUGAGUAAUGCCUAGGAAUCUGCCUGGUAGUGGGGGACAACGUUUAGAAAGGAACGCUAAUACCGCAUACGUCCCACGGGAGAAAGUGGGGGAUCUUCGGACCUCACGCUAUCAGAUGAGCCUAGGUACGAUUAGCUAGUUGGUGAGGUAAAGGCUCACCAAGGCGACGAUCGUUAACUGGUCUGAGAGGAUGAUCAGUCACAAUGGAACUGAGACACGGUCCAGACUCCUACGGGAGGCAGCAGUGGGGAAUAUUGGACAAUGGGCGAAAGCCUGAUCCAGCCAUGCCGCGUGUGUGAAGAAGGUCUUCGGAUUGUAAAGCACUUUAAGUUGGGAGGAAGGGCAGUAAGUUAAUACCUUGCUGUUUUGACGUUACCGACAGAAUAAGCACCGGCUAACUUCGUGCCAGCAGCCGCCGUAAGAC
rnacentral:rRNA from 1 species